rnacentral:rRNA from 2 species
UGAGGAAUAUUGGACAAUGGGCGCAAGCCUGAUCCAGCCAUGCCGCGUGAGUGAUGACGGCCCUAGGGUUGUAAAGCUCUUUUACCUGUGAAGAUAAUGACGGUACCAGGAGAAUAAGCCCCGGCUAACUUCGUGCCAGCAGCCGCGGUAAUACGAAGGGGGCUAGCGUUGUUCGGAAUCACUGGGCGUAAAGCGCACGUAGGCGGAUCCUUAAGUCAGGGGUGAAAUGCCGAGGCUCAACCUCGGAACUGCCUUUGAUACUGGGGAUCUCGAGUCCGGGAGAGGUGAGUGGAACUGCGAGUGUAGAGGUGAAAUUCGUAGAUAUUCGCAAGAACACCAGUGGCGAAGGCGGCUCACUGGCCCGGAACUGACGCUGAGGUGCGAAAGCGUGGGGAGCAAACAGG